GAGUGAAGAGGGAAGAGCUCAUCAUUGGAAUCUGGCAGUGUUUUCACUGUCCGAGUUGUAGAUGAGGAGUAGUCCAUCUGGACUGCAUGGCGUCCAAGUACAAUAGGCCGUCAGUGGGACAUCAUAGAGGGUGACAAUCCCGUCCUUGAUGCCAAUGUGCAAGUCCGUUACGAUGGCUAUCUCAGAGAGUCGAGCAGUUUGGGAUUUGCUGCUUAAACAUGGGAGGUAGAUUCCUUCUAAAGCUAAAUACAGGCGAGAGACCGAUAGAGAACAAGUACCGCAAGGGAAAGAUGAAAUAGCACUCUGUGAAGGGAGUCAAAAGACGUGAAAUUGUUGCGAGAGAAGCGAUUCAAGUCAGCGUAGCUAGGCCCAUCAAGCCUCUUGCUUUGGACUAGCUUUGCCAGCGGUCUUGUCCUAAGAGACUUGACUUGUUAAUAUGUCCAGCCUGGUAUGCACAGGUAGCCCCAUCGGGGCCAGUGACAUGGCUGGUGGAAUGGCUUGCAAUCGACCCGUCUUGAAACACGGACCAAGGAGUCUAACAUGUAUGCGAGUAUAAGGGUGGCAAACCCGUAUGCGCAAUGAAAGUGAUUUUCGGUGAUUGAGAAUGGCCUGAUGACCAGACAAGCAAUAUUAUGUCCCUCGUACGGCCAUUGCCCAAGUUCCGUGGUAGAUCCCACGAACAUGGAGUUGGAGCAUACAUGCUAGGACCCGAAAGAUGGUGAACUAUGCCUGGACAAAGCGAAGCCAAAGGAAACUNUGGUGGAGGCUUGUAGCGAUUCUGACGUGCAAAUCGAUCGUCUGAUCUGGGUAUAGGGGCGAAAGACUANUC
rnacentral:rRNA from 1 species